rnacentral:tRNA from 1 species
GGAGAGGUGGCUCAGAGGUUAGGAGCACUGGCUGCUCUUCCAGAGGUCCUGAGUUCAAUUCCCAGCAACUACA